rnacentral:rRNA from 1 species
GUGAGGAAUCUUCCACAAUGGGCGAAAGCCUGAUGGAGCAACGCCGCGUGAAGGAUGAAGGUCUUCGGAUUGUAAACUUCUUUUAUGAGUGAAGAAUAUGACGGUAACUCAUGAAUAAGCACCGGCUAACUACGUGCCAGCAGCCGCGGUCAUACGCAGGGUGCAAGCAUUAUCCGGAGUGACUGGGCGUAAAGAGUUGCGUAGGCGGUUAUGUAAGCGAAUAGUGAAACCUGGUGGCUCAACCACACAGACUAUUAUUCGAACUGCAUAACUCGAGAAUGGUAGAGGUAACUGGAAUUUCUUGUGUAGGAGUGAAAUCCGUAGAUAUAAGAAGGAACACCAAUGGCGUAGGCAGGUUACUGGGCCAUUUCUGACGCUAAGGCACGAAAGCGUGGGGAGCGAACCGGAUUAGAUACCCCAGUAGUCC